rnacentral:rRNA from 1 species
GCUCACCAAGGCGACGAUCUGUAGCGGGUCUGAGAGGAUGAUCCGCCACACUGGAACUGAGACACGGUCCAGACUCCUACGGGAGGCAGCAGUGGGGAAUUUUGGACAAUGGGGGCAACCCUGAUCCAGCCAUGCCGCGUGAGUGAAGAAGGCCUUCGGGUUGUAAAGCUCUUUCGGCCGGGAAGAAAUCGUAUGGGCUAAUACCCUGUGCGGAUGACGGUACCGGCAUAAGAAGCACCGGCUAACUACGUGCCAGCAGCCGCGGUAAUACGUAGGGUGCGAGCGUUAAUCGGAAUUACUGGGCGUAAAGCGUGCGCAGGCGGUUUGAUAAGACAGGCGUGAAAUCCCCGGGCUCAACCUGGGAACUGCGUUUGUGACUGUCUCACUAGAGUACGGCAGAGGGGGGUGGAAUUCCACGUGUAGCAGUGAAAUGCGUAGAGAUGUGGAGGAACACCAAUGGCGAAGGCAGCCCCCUGGGUCGAUACUGACGCUCAUGCACGAAAGCGUGGGUAGCAAACAGGAUUAGAUACCCUGGUAGUCCACGCCCUAAACGAUGUCAACUAGGUGUUGGGAGGGUAAAACCUUUUAGUACCGGAGCUAACGCGUGAAGUUGACCGCCUGGGGAGUACGGCCGCAAGGUUAAAACUCAAAGGAAUUGACGGGGACCCGCACAAGCGGUGGAUGAUGUGGAUUAAUUCGAUGCAACGCGAAAAACCUUACCUACCCUUGACAUGUCCAGGAGCCCUUAGAGAUUUGGGUGUGCCCGAAAGGGAACUGGAACACAGGUGCUGCAUGGCUGUCGUCAGCUCGUGUCGUGAGAUGUUGGGUUAAGUCCCGCAACGAGCGCAACCCUUGUCGUUAAUUGCCAUCAUUUAGUUGGGCACUUUAGCGAGACUGCCGGUGACAAACCGGAGGAAGGUGGGGAUGACGUCAAGUCCUCAUGGCCCUUAUGGGUAGGGCUUCACACGUCAUACAAUGGUCGGUACAAAGGGUCGCCAACC